rfam:Rattus norvegicus chromosome 1, whole genome shotgun sequence.
CGGAUUUAGCUCAGUGGUAGAGCGCUUGCCUAGCAAGCACAAGGCCCUGGGUUCGGUCCCCAGCUCCGA